GCUAGCAUAUCAAUAAGCGGAGGAAAAGAAACUAACAAGGAUUCCCCUAGUAACUGCGAGUGAAGCGGGAAGAGCUCAAAUUUAAAAUCUGGCAGUUCUGCUGUCCGAGUUGUAAUCUGUAGAAGCGUUUUCUGCAUUGGACCAUGUACAAGUCUCUUGGAACAGAGUGUCAUAGAGGGUGAGAAUCCCGUCCAUGACAUGGACUACCAAUGCUUUGUGAUACGCUCUCAAAGAGUCGAGUUGUUUGGGAAUGCAGCUCAAAAUGGGUGGUAAAUUCCAUCUAAAGCUAAAUAUAGGCGAGAGACCGAUAGCGAACAAGUACCGUGAGGGAAAGAUGAAAAGCACUUUGGAAAGAGAGUUAAACAGUAUGUGAAAUUGUUGAAAGGGAAACACUUGAAGUCAGUCGCAUCUUGCAGGACUCAGCCUUGCCUAGUAGGCUUGGUGUAUUUCCUGCAGGAUGGGUCAACAUCAAUUUUGGUCAGUGGAUAAAGGAGGAGGGAAUGUAGCACCUUUGCAGGUGUGUUAUAGCCCUCCUUUGUAUACAUUGGCUGGGAUUGAGGACUGCAGCAUGCCCUUUGUGGCCAGGACUUAUCAUGUCGCAUGCUUAGGAUGUUGACAAAAUGGCUUUAAGUGACCCGUCUUGAAACACGGACCAAGGAGUCUAACAUGCCUGCAAGUGUUUGGGUGGAAAACCCUUACGCAUAAUGAAAGUGAAAGUUGGGAAACCUCUGUAAAGGGGGUGGCACUGAUGCCCGGCCCUGAUGUUUACUGACGGUGCUGCGGUAGAGCAUGUAUGUUGGGACCCGAAAGAUGGUGAACUAUGCCUGAAUAGGGUGAAGCCAGAGGAAACUCUGGUGGAAAGCUCGUAGCGAUUCUGACGUGCAAAUCGAUCGUCAAAUUUGGGUAUAGGGGCGAAAGACUAAUCGAACCAUCUAGUAGCUGGUUCCUGCCGAAGUCCCCCUCAGAAUA
rnacentral:rRNA from 1 species